rnacentral:rRNA from 1 species
UACGGAGGGUGCGAGCGUUGUCCGGAAUCAUUGGGCGUAAAGGGCGCGUAGGUGGCCCGCUCAGCGUGCGGUGAAAGCUCGGGCUCAACCCCGAGUCGGCCGUGCGAACUGGUGGGCUGGACGCGACUGUAGAGGCAGGCGGAAUUCCGGGGUGUAGCGGUGGAAUGCGUAGAGAGCCGGAAGAACACCGGUGGCGAAGGCGGCCGCGGGCAGUGCUGCACUGAGGCGCGACAGCGUGGGAGCAAACAGG